GACGAACGCUGGCGGCGUGCUUAACACAUGCAAGUCGUACGGUAAGGCCCUUUCGGGGGUCCACGAGUGGCGCACGGGUGAGUAACACGUGAGUAACCUGCCCACAACUUUGGGAUAACGCUAGGAAACUGGUGCUAAUACUGGAUAUGUGCUCCUGCUGCAUGGUGGGGGUUGGAAAGCUCCGGCGGUUGUGGAUGGACUCGCGGCCUAUCAGCUUGUUGGUGGGGUAGUGGCCUACCAAGGCGGCGACGGGUAGCCGGCCUGAGAGGGUGACCGGCCACAUUGGGACUGAGAUACGGCCCAGACUCCUACGGGAGGCAGCAGUGGGGAAUAUUGCACAAUGGGCGCAAGCCUGAUGCAGCAACGCCGCGUGCGGGAUGACGGCCUUCGGGUUGUAAACCGCUUUCAGCAGGGACGAAGCUUUUUGUGACGGUACCUGCAGAAGAAGCACCGGCUAACUACGU
rnacentral:rRNA from 1 species